AGAGUUUGAUCCUGGCUCAGAUUGAACGCUGGCGGUAUGCUUAACACAUGCAAGUCGAACGGUAACGGACCGCUGUGAUCCCUUCGGGGUGAACUUGGUGCCGACUAGUGGCGGACGGGUGAGUAAUACUUAGGAAUCUGCCCAGUACUGGGGGACAACACGAGGAAACUCGUGCUAAUACCGCAUACGCCCUAAGGGGGAAAGUGGAGGAUCUUCGGACUUCACGCUAUUGGAUGAGCCUAAGCCGGAUUAGCUUGUUGGUAGGGUAAUGGCCUACCAAGGCGACGAUCCGUAGCUGGUCUGAGAGGACGAUCAGCCACACUGGGACUGACACACGGCCCAUACUCCUACGGGAGGCAGCAGUGGGGAAUAUUGGACAAUGGGGGCAACCCUGAUCCCGCAAUACCGCGUGUGUGAAGAAGGCCUGCGGGUUGUAAAGCACUUUCAGUAGAGAACAAAAUCUUAGGGUCAAUACCCCUCGGGUCUUGACUUAACCUACCGAAUAAGCACCGGCUAACUUCAUGCCUGCCCUCCGCGGUAAUACGGGGGGGUGCAACCUUUUAAUUCGGAAUUAACUGGGCGUCCACGCGCGCCGUUGUCGGGCCUGGGCCAGUUCUUAUGUUGUAAACCCCCCGGGCCUCCCCCCCUGGGGAAAUUCCAUUCCGAACACUGGCCCGACUUAACAAUCAUUGUCAUAUA
rnacentral:rRNA from 1 species